CUCGGGGCGGAAUGGAACCUGUUGACGGUACUGAACGUCGUUUCCCUGAAGCCUGUAAUAAAUGGAGAAAAUGAGACAUAGGAAGAUGAAUCAGCCUACUCACGAUCAUUUAGUUGGUGGAUGACAGAGGGAUUCAGACCUUUAGUGGAACCAGACCAGAGGCACUUCCCUUCUCCCUCAAAUCAAUAGAAAACAGCUACCACGUAAAUCAGCCCGUCUCCAUUCUCUUGAAGAUAUUGCCCACUUAAGGGAGAUGCUUGAGAAAAUACCCUUGUAGGGCCUGAGGACCUCUGAUACCAUCAUGUUAUCUAUUUGUCCUCCUUAUCAAAG